GNAAAGUCAGCUAAUCAAGCUCUG
rnacentral:tRNA from 1 species